AAUAGAUACCCGGGUAGUCCACGCCGUAAACGAUGAUCACUAGUUGUAUGGAGUUUCGACCCUCUGUGCAGCAAAGCUAACGCGUUAAGUGAUCCGCCUGGGGAGUACGAGCGCAAGCUUAAAACUCAAAGGAAUUGACGGGGAGCCGCACAAGCAGAGGAGGAUGUGGUUUAAUUCGAGGCUAAGCGAAGAACCUUACCAAGGCUUGACAUCCUGGGAAUCUUUGGGAAACCAUUGAGUGCCUUCGGGAAUCCAGUGACAGGUGCUGCAUGGCCGUCGUCAGCUCGUGUCGUGAGAUGUUGGGUUAAGUCCCGCAACGAGCGCAACCCCUAUCGUUUGUUGAAUUUUCAAACGAGACUGCCCGGGACAACCGGGAGGAAGGUGGGGACGACAUCUGGUCUGCAUGGCCCUUACGCCUUGGGCUACACACGUCCUACAGUGGCCACUACAACGCGUUGCCAAACCGCAAGGUGGAGCUAAUCGCAUCAAAAGUGGUCUCAGUUCGGAUUGAGGGCUGAAACUCGCCCUCAUGAAGCCGGU
rnacentral:rRNA from 1 species